UACGUAGGGCGCAAGCGUUGUCCGGAUUUAUUGGGCGUAAAGAGCUCGUAGGCGGUUUGUCGCGUCUUCCGUGAAAACUGGGGGCUUAACUUCCAGCUUGCGGUGGAUACGGGCUGACUAGAGUGCGGUAGGGGGAGACUGGAAUUCCUGGUGUAGCGGUGGAAUGCGCAGAUAUCAGGAGGAACACCGGUGGUGUAGACGGCUUUCUGGACCAUAACUGACGCUGAGACACGAAAGCGUGGGUAGCAAACAGG
rnacentral:rRNA from 1 species